AUUGAACGCUGGCGGAAUGCUUUACACAUGCAAGUCGAACGGCAGCACGGGGCAACCUGGUGGCGAGUGGCGAACGGGGUGAGUAAUACAUCGGAACGUGCCCAAUCGUGGGGGAUAACGUAGCGAAAGUUACGCUAAUACCGCAUACGAUCUACGGAUGAAAGCGGGGGAUCGCAAGACCUCGCGCGAGUGGAGCGGCCGAUGUCAGAUUAGGUAGUUGGUGGGGUAAAGGCUCACCAAGCCAACGAUCUGUAGCUGGUCUGAGAGGACGACCAGCCACACUGGAACUGAGACACGGUCCAGACUCCUACGGGAGGCAGCAGUGGGGAAUUUUGGACAAUGGGCGCAAGCCUGAUCCAGCCAUUCCGCGUGCAGGAUGAAGGCCUUCGGGUUGUAAACUGCUUUUGUACGGAACGAAACGGCGAGCUCUAAUACAGUUUGCUAAUGACGGUACCGUAAGAAUAAGCACCGGCUAACUACGUG
rnacentral:rRNA from 1 species